rnacentral:rRNA from 1 species
GAUGAACGCUGGCGGCGUGCCUAAUACAUGCAAGUCGAGCGAACAGAUGAGGAGCUUGCUCCUCUGACGUUAGCGGCGGACGGGUGAGUAACACGUGGAUAACCUACCUAUAAGACUGGGAUAACUUCGGGAAACCGGAGCUAAUACCGGAUAAUAUAUUGAACCGCAUGGUUCAAUAGUGAAAGACGGUUUUGCUGUCACUUCUAGAUGGAUCCGCGCCGCAUUAGCUAGUUGGUAAGGUAACGGCUUACCAAGGCAACGAUGCGUAGCCGACCUGGGAGGGUGAUCGCCCACACUGGAACUGGGCCACGGUCCAGACUCCUACGGGAGGCAGCAGUAGGGAAUCUGCCGCAAUGGUCGAAAGCCUGACGGAGCAACGCCGCGUGAGUGAUGAAGGUCUUCGGAUCGUAAAACUCUGUUAUGAGGGAAGAACAAAUGUGUAAGUAACUAUGCACGUCUUGACGGUACCUAAUCAGAAAGCCACGGCUAACUACGUG